UUUCGAGUUACUGGAAUUCAGAUUCAAACUAUUAAAUUCAGAUUCAGUUUUGUAAUGUGGAUAACUGCAGAUUCAAAUAUACAAAAUUCAUAUUCAGUUUCUAGUGGCACAGAUAUCAGCUCAUAUCUUGCAUAUCACCAGUGAAUAUCACUGAAUGAAAAAUUAAGCGCAGGUUUAUUCCGGAGACACAAGAUCCAACAAUACCAACUGGGUGAAUCCUAAAUAUUCCCUGUGAGCCUGGAGCUGAUCCCAAGAAGCACAGGGCAUGACGCAAGGGAUGCAGACAGGAUGGCCAUCCACCGCAGGAUAGUUUAAUGGAUAAUGGUUAAGUGGGGGGUGCUUCACAGAGGCUGUUUUGGACCAGGUUCUGGCAAAGCCACUGGGAACCCAUUAACAGGGCUGUAGGGAAGAGCACCAUCGAUGCCAAGGCCGGGUGGAACAGUGCUGACACAAUGUGUGCAACCCAAGUCUGAAAAGGCUGACCCAGCUGCCACGCAGACUCUUCCAUGCUGUCCCCCAUCUUACUUACUUGUUGUCACAGAAGCUCCUGACUGAGGAAUGCUUUGAGAAAGACUAUUCUGCCUAUUUCCAUUCCUAGGCCUGGGUAUAGGUGUGUUCCUCACUAAGUACGGAAGGCAGUAAAGAUGAGUAAUCCCAGGGCAGGGUAAACCACUCAGAUUAAGACCAGUGCUAUAUGCCCAAUCACAAUAUACAUACACCAAGAACUUGAGGUAUAAUCCCAAUCACCAAUGUUUUCUAUUAAUCACUUCCACUAAAAAUCACUGCAUCUUGUCCUACUUGAUUGUCCUUGUAUGUUGUACGUGUAUUGCUUAUAUAUUAUAUAUUUUGUGUAUUGUAUGCAUAAUGUUUGUUCUUGCUUUCUAUUCUGUUAUUACUCUUUAUUGUUCUUCAUCAUUAUUUGGUAUUUAAGUCUGCAGGGUGGUACGCAAGAAAGUAUCUAAUU